GGAGGGAUUUUUGGCAAUGGGCGAAAGCCUGACCAAGCAACGCCGCGUGGGUGAUGAAGUAUCUUGGUACGUAAAACCCUUUCGGCAGGGACGAACCUAAUGACGGUACCUGCGGAAGAAGCCCGGCGUAACUCCCGUGCCAGCAGCCGCGGUAAUACGGGGGGGGCAAGGCUUGUUCGGAAUUACUGGGCGUAAAGGGCGCGUAGGCGGUUGGAUAAGUCAGCUGUGAAAACCACGGGCUUAACUCGUGGCCUGCAGUUGAGACUGUCUGGCUUGAGUGUGGGAGAGGAGAGUGGAAUUCCUGGUGUAGCGGUGAAAUGCGUAGAUAUCAGGAGGAACACCGGUGGCGAAGGUGGCUCUCUGGACCACAACUUGACGCUGAGGCGCGAAAGCUAGGGGAGCAAAACA
rnacentral:rRNA from 1 species